GGAGAGGCGCGCACGAGCGGACCCCGACACGCAGGGACACGCAGCACCAGCCGAGAUACGACCGAGGCACGCACGCGCAGGCACGCACACACACACACUCCAGUCUCCCUCUCCCGGCCGAGGCUGUGCGGCCCACGCUCUCCACCCCUCUCCGACCCCCAGCCGCGGGAGCCGAGCAGGGAGGCAGGUGAGACACCGCGGGGCCGUGCGGACGGCCAGCACUCGACUUUGCCUAAAAAAGGAAGCAGCAGGCUGAGGCUGAGGAGCUGGCGGCAGGAACAAGGGAGAGCUGUGUCCCCGCCGGCGCCCCCCACCCCCCCUGCCGGGGAUCUUGGCAGUGGAGGUGCUGGCUGCGCUCCACAGACCUCAGACCUCGGCUGGGACCAGAAAUGCCUGGUGCUUCCGCCUGGGCCCGGUGGGGGGACUUUGGGUCCCCAGAGUGCAAGCUGUACCACUUCGAGGGGCCUCGCCAGGCCCCCCAGCCCCCAGUACACAGGGGCUGCCGUGGAGAUGACGCUGAAGGCCGCAGCCGCUGGAGGACCUGGGGUCUGACCGGAAGCUGGCUGCAGACCCUGCGGAGGCACGUCCAGGUAGUCAGGCAGGGAGCUGGGCCGAGGGUCCCCCACCCUGGGGAGGCUCACAGCCAGUGGCCCGCUUGUCCCCCACCCUCGCCCAGCAGGCGGGCCACAGUCACACCUCAGCCAGCCUUGCAGGGCUGACGGGGAAGUUUCCCUCACUUCUGGAAAAAGUGAGCGGGUCUUCUUGGCUGUGACUCAGGCCCUCAAGGAAGCGGCCGCCCUCCUCCCUUCAGCUCGCCAUCAGCGGGAGAAGGCACAGGAGGCCUGGCCUCCACCCAGCCUGGGCCGAGCUCAGCCACCUGCCUUGCUCCCGGCUCUGCCUGGAGUCCCUCCAGCUAGGAGACCCUCCCCAUCAGCUCUCCCCGUGCCCCUCAGUCUUCAGGACUCAUUCUUGUGUCCUGCCCUCCCCCCGCUGUCUCCACCCCGGAGGAGGGACGUGGACAGAGGGUCCCAGAGAGCAUGGGGUCAGCCAGAGGUGCAGUGUCAGGGCCCGGGCCGGACUUGAGGCAGACACCGGAGGAAGCACAAAUAUAACAGCCGGAACCCUCCACUCUCCAGGGAGAAGGGCCCGGGGUAAGAGGCAGAGGCAAGGACGGGUCAGGCCAGAUCACAGUGGGUGCUGGCCCCGAGCCCUCUGCCUCCUGCAGGCACAGCCCCUGUCUGAUCCUGGUGGCCUGGGGCCCCAUGGGGUGGGGAGCAGCCUGGUUUGGCUGCGGCCACCCCGCCCCCACGGUCUGGGCCUGGGCUGUGGGAGUCCCUGUGCCUCACUUCCCGGAGCCAGCCUGCCCUGCCGGUCUGUCUGCAGGCAGGUGGAGAGAGUUCCAGGAAGCUGGGGAGGCUGCUGUCACCCGGGCACCGCCCCUGCCCCCACCCGCCUUUGGGAAUGCUCCCUCCUCCGCACAAUCCAGGCUUCUGCAGAAGAUGAAGGGCCUUUUGUCCCCAGCUGGCUGUGGUCAUGUUUGACCCUGGGUAAAAGGGCAACUCCUGAGGCCUCUGACCCCACCCCUGACCCGAGCUGAGGGCAGGACGCCCAGGCCCGCACCCGGCGCCUUUUGUUGCUGUUUUCACGUAUCUCACAAACGUACUCAAGCACACACAGGAGCAGAUGGACGGGGCGGUGAGGGGCAGCAGUGGUGAGGGGCAGCGGCGGUGAGGGGCAGCGGCGGUGAGGGGCAGCGGUGCGGGCCUGAGGCACUGCUCUGGGGUGUGCCUGAGCCCACCCCACAACAGUAAGUGGGGCAGAGCAGGGGUCACCAAGAGAGCAGGGCCCACGCAGCUCCUAGACUCAACCUGCUCACUGGGGUCAAGGACAGGUCUUGGGGGCCUCGGGGGUCACUUUUCACUUCCCAGGAGCCCAGGCCUGCCCCUCUGGCCCCAGAGCUGACCCCCCUCAGUCCCCCGUGCCAGCAGCAGCUGGGGUGGCGGGUAGACACCUGGCGGGUAGCAGCCUGGGUAGGGGUGGGAGCUGCACCAUCUGCGUCUGUCCAUCCAUCCCUCGUCUGUGUGCUGGGCACAGCCGCGCCCCAGCCUCAGUGCUGGGGACACACAGGCGCCGGGCCAGCACUGCCAGGCUAGGAGGGUGGGCGGUGAACAGCUAGGAAAGAUACGGUCUACUUGUUUUCCCUGUGAGAACAGGGGGUCACUGGGGACUCGCACGCAAGGGGUACCCGAGGAAGAGCCUUCCAGGCAGAGAGAAGGAACCGCGAGUGCUGAGAGCAGGGUGGGGUGGGCAGGAGGGGCCUGCGCCAGGACUGCAGGGGCAGAGCAGGCUGGGGGCCUUCGGGAGGGGUGGCCGGGUGGAGGGUGUUGCCGGCCUCGACAGGGGCAGGAGGUUCGUCACAGCGAGGACAGAGCCCGGCCCGGUGGGAGCCGGAGAGCAGCAGGCCUGAAUGACCCAGGGUUUCCUAAUAGCAGGGCCCCUUCCUUGUGUGGGUCCCCUCACUUUGCCUCUCUGCUGGGACAUCCUUCCCUGAAAGGGAGAGGAGGACCACAUGCUGCCCCUUCCCCAGACACAGUCCAGACAGGCCCAGGCCACAGCCCUGGGCAGACGCAAAACUCCCAGGGGCCUGGACUGGGAUAGGGAGGAGGCAGCAGGGAGGGACUGACCUAUGUCCACACACCACAAGGGACUCCCAGAGGCGGGUGGGGCGGAGCUGGGAGCAGGGGCCUUAGCCCUCAGACCAGCCCACUCACCCUGGGGAGUUCCUGCCCCACAGCCUGCCCAGCUUACAGGCCUGGGGGCAGGGGCAGGCCAGCACAGGCCGGAGGGACAGAGGGAGCCACAUCUGAGGGGUCCCCCAGCUGCUCACACCGUCUGAGGCUGUGCUUGCCAACAACUCUGCUCCCAGGAAAUAUUUUGCAAAUCAGGAAAUGACACCGGGCAAGGCCCAGCUGUUGUUUUCACGGCUCCGGGACCAGGCGGAUCCUCAGCCAAGAGCUUCCCAGGAGAGCCCUCAUCUUCAACCCCUAGUGGCGACCAGAGCCAGCCCGGGCAGGAGGGGAAGGAAGGCGGCCGCGGCCCCGGGGAAGCCAUCCUGGCAGCUUGGCCACUGGCCCGGCUCCUGUCUGACCAGGAAAGGCAUCAAAGCCGGACUCGGAUGGAGGCUGGAAAACCCCGAGACUUCUGCUGGACUCGACCCAGCCACACACCAGGCUGUGCUCAAGGCCACGGAAUGAGCCUUGACCCUGGCCCCAGACGGAGCCCAGACCUUGCUGGUCACAGGCUGAGCCCUGCUGGCAAUAUGAUGUACUAGAUCCCUUAAAAGGCCUUCCAGCAACAACCAACUUCUGGAUGAAUUACUAUGAGCGUACAUUUUUAAUAGACUGUUGUGUUUCCAAGAAAGUAAAUAUCUCCGAGUCUCCCCCAAAAUUAAACAGCAAAAAUAAAUAAGGCCAGGUGGGGUGGCUCAUGCCUGUAAUCCCAACACUUUAGGAGGCUGAGGCGAGAGGAUUGCUUGUGCCUAGGAGUUCGAGACCAGCCUGGGCAACAUGAUGAGACCCCGUCUCUACAAAAAAAUUUAAAAUUAGCUGGGUGUGGUGGUGCACUCUAGUCACAGCUACUUGGGAGGCUGAGGCAGGAGGAUCACUUGAGCCUGGGAGGGCGAGGCUGCAGAGAGCUAGGAGCUCACCACUGCACUCAGACUGGGCGGCAGAGCAAGACUCUGUCUCUAAGUAAACAAACAGACAGAGUAGUGUGGAGGCCUGGAUGAUGAAGGGAAGUGGUUGGGAAAGCAGAUAACUCCCUGGACACACACAGGGACAGAGAGCCAGCCUGCGGCCAGGGAACAAGUAUGUUUCUCUGCCUAGGGGCUGCUUAAACCAGGGGUCUCAAGGGUCACUGAGGGGGCCGAGGGUGGUCUCGCCUGGAAAAGGGGAAUAGUCUCUGGAGGGAAGCAUCCCCAAGUUGGACCUCAGAAUUGUCUCCGAUAACAGCUGACAAUUAAACAACCAAACGUUCAGAGAAACACCAUGCUACUGAUGAGAAUCGGCAGAAACACCAGUCACAGAUUUAGACCCCCAAAGACUAGGACACUGGAAUUAUUUAGUACAGAAUAUAAAAUAACUAUAUAUGAAAUAUGUUUAAGAAGUGGAAACUGUAAUCUAAAAAGCAAGCAUGUAUCAAGAGACCAUAAAAAAAAUCAGACAAAUCUAAAACACAAUCAGAUGUAACUUUUAGAUAUGCUAACCUUUUUUUUUUUUUGAGAUGGAGUUUCACUUUGUCACCCAGGCUGGAGUGCAGUGGCACCCUCUCAGCUCACUCCAACCUCUGCCUCCAGUGUUCAAAUGAUUCUUGUGCCUCAGCCUCCUGAGUAGCUGGGACUACAGGUGUGCACCACCAUGGCCAGCUAAUUUUUUUUGUUGUUUUUUUGUUUGUUUUUAAGAUGGAGUCUUGCUCUUGUUGUCCAGGCUGGAGUGCAAUGGCAUGAUUUCGGCUCACUGCAAUCUCUGCCUCCUGGGUUCAAGCGAUCCUCCUGCCUCAGCCUCCCAAGUAGCUGAGGUUAUAGGUGCCCACCACCACGCCCAGCUAAUUUUUUUUUUUUUUUUUUUUGAGACGGAGCCUCGCUCUUUCGCCCAAGCUAGAGUGCAGUGGCGUGAUCUUGGCUCACUGCAAGCUUUGCCUCCCAGGUUCACGCCAUUCUCCUGCCUCAGCCUCCCGAGUAGCUGGUACUACAGGUGCCCGCCACCAAGCCCAGCUAAUUUCUGUAUUUUUUAGUAGAGACGGGGUUUCACCGUGUUAGCCAGGAUGAUCUGGAUCUCCUGAGCUGGUGAUCCGCCCUCCUCGGCUUCCCAAAGUGCUGGGAUUACAGGCGUGAGCCACCGUGCCUGGCCUGGAUAUGUUAACAUAAUAAUUUAAGAUAAAAUGAAUGAGUUAAUCAGCAGAUUAGACGGAAGGGAGUAAUUUGAUGAGGGGGUAAAAGAAAAUGGUGAGGAUAUGGAGAAGGAAUUCGUGGUGAAACUGGACACAAUUGUUGAGGGAUUUCCAGAGCUGAUGAACGUUGUGGACCUGUGGCUUACACCAAACAGGGUGGGUGUGAGCUCGGCACAGCUAGGACGCGCUGGUGAGACCAAGGAACACCAAAGUCAGUGAGGAGAUCUUAGUGUCUCCCGGAGAGAGCCGACCGAGGCUGGCGCAUGUCUGAAUGCGAGCCUGGCCAUAGGCUGAGCCCGGCUGCCGCCACCCCUGGGCUUCUGGAACCCUGGGCUUGGCCGAGCGUGGGUGUCUCCCCUGGGAGCCCCAGAGCCCUGGACGAUGGAGGCCGGGACCUGGGCAGGCGCGGGAGGCCUUGGGCUGGGGCCUGCGCCCCUCCUCUGAGGGCUGCCUGCCGGGCUCUGCCCUGCCCUGCCCUUCCCUCCCCUCUCUUCCCCUCCCCUCUCCUCUCUUUCCCUCACCUCCCCUCUCUUUGCCUCCCC
rnacentral:lncRNA from 1 species